rnacentral:tRNA from 1 species
GGACGGGUCGCCUAGCUCGGUCGAGGGCGCGGCACUGGAAAUGCCGUAGGCCCGCAAGGGCCUCGAGGGUUCAAAUCCCUCCCCGUCCGCCA